GGAAGCGAAGCCGGAGCUGCGGGCGCUUAUUCUGCCCGCGGUGUCUCAGAUUCAUUCUUAAGGAACUGAGAACUUAAUCUUCCAAAAUGUCAAAAAGACCAUCUUAUGCCCCACCUCCCACCCCAGCUCCUGCAACAGCAUCCUCUGGUAUCACGAUUCCAAAACCCCCAAAGCCACCAGAUAAGCCGCUGAUGCCCUACAUGAGGUACAGCAGAAAGGUCUGGGACCAAGUAAAGGCUUCCAACCCUGACCUAAAGUUGUGGGAGAUUGGCAAGAUUAUUGGUGGCAUGUGGCGAGAUCUCACUGAUGAAGAAAAACAAGAAUAUUUAAACGAAUACGAAGCAGAAAAGAUAGAGUACAAUGAAUCUAUGAAGGCCUAUCAUAAUUCCCCCGCGUACCUUGCUUACAUAAAUGCAAAAAGUCGUGCAGAAGCUGCUUUAGAGGAAGAAAGUCGACAGAGACAAUCUCGCAUGGAGAAAGGAGAACCGUACAUGAGCAUUCAGCCUGCUGAAGAUCCAGAUGGUAAAAGAAAAAAAGUGGAGUUUUGUUUAUGCUUUCUCUGAGAGUUAAGAUAUGAGAAAUCUCUUAAGUUUUUAUUUCUUAUCCUAAAUGGAAAAGAAAGCAUAAUUUAAGUAUCAUCUUAGUAUUUUGGUUAUAUUGAGUAAGAUUUGUAUGUGAAUUUCCCACAAGAAAAAGAAAUAUCCUUUUCAGUGCAGAAAAUAGCAAAAAUUAUUUGUUGUUUAUCAAAAUCUUUGUACUCAAAAUGCAUGAAAGGUUUUUAAAUCACAAUCAGAAUUUUGCCUCAUCUGCUUUUAAAAAGCUAAAUGCAUUCUAGUUAUAUCCUGUUUUCUUAUUGGUUCACUAAAUUCGCUGAAUUAAAGGCUAUUAAGGGAGAAGCUAAUGAGUAUGUGGAAACAUGAAGUUUCCUUUCCAUUUAAUUCAGAAAUCCAAUAAGAAUGUAUAAAUAUAGCUCAUGCUACUGUUUGUAUGGGUGUACAUGAGGGUAUACCCAUACAAAUUUUAUACAUGCACACGAAUGGCAGAGCUUCCUAAUUGCCAUUCUGUAUGAGUAGUUAGCAGGUGUGCUGAUUGUUCUGGUCUUGUGCAGCCAGGCAGGGUCUGAAGCUGCAAGGAGACCCAGAGAUAGCCACCUGCAGUGUGAACGCACUCAACCACGUAUCUAGUGUGCUGUAUAAACAUUAAUAGUUUCUCUGUGUACUGCUAUGAUGUGCAAAAGGUUAGAAGCUCUAGCUGCAAGCGACAAGAACAUCAGAAAAAUGAUUUAAGAUCCCAUCUUAAAGUAGCGGUAACAAAGAGGAAGGCUAUAAGAACUUUAAAGACAAUAUCAAUGAGGGAGGAAGCAAUAAUAGUACCUGAAGACAAGAAUAAGUUGAUAAAAGUGGGGAAAAAUAGAAGUCAUUUUUUAAAAUAAUGUACUGGAAUAUUGUCAAAUGUUCUCAUAAAUACAGACAGUGGAAUGUAAUACUAUAGAGAAUAGAAUAUGGAAUAGAAGCAGUAUUGAAUGUUAAACAGAAUCAGCAGUGCUAAAGACACACUAGCAUCCUCACACUUUAAUUACUCAAAUGGGAUGAUUAAUGCAAUAGAAACAUACAGAACUAAAAAACAGAAGACAAUCCAGUCUACAGAUAUUGGGAGGAUGGAGGUCAGGACAAGAGGAAACAAAGGCUAGCAACAUAAGUAGAAAAUAACUAAAGCUUUCAUUAACACCAUGAACACUGAGAAGGACUGAAGAAAUUCACUCAGAAACAGUCUCAAACUUGGGCCUAUUAUGUUUUUAACUUUAAGAUUGGGUCUUAAAGUUGCUAGUAAGUUCAGGUAGCAAUUAAGAUGCCAGUAUGAGAACGUCUUUAGCAUACCAGUACGAAAAUGAUUAGAAAGAGGAAUACUUGGGAGGUGGAAAUGUAUGUCAAAUGUACAUAAGAGAAAGGUGGCAUCUGCAUGAAGUACAACAGCUACUGACUUCUUUAACAGAGGACUAUCAAAAGAUAGACAUGGCCAGGCACCGUGGCUCAUGCCUGUAAUCCCAAUACUUUGGGAAACUGAAGCAGGAGGAUCGUUUGUGGCCAAGAGUUUGAGACCAGCCUGGGCAACACAGCAAGACCUUAUCUCUACAGAACACUUAAAAAUUAGCUGGGCAUGGUGGCUUGUGCCUGUAGUCCCGGCUACUCCGACUGAGGCUGAGGUGGGAGGAUCAGUUGAGCCCAGGAAUUCGAGGCUGCAGUGAGCUAUGAUCAUGCCACUGUCCUCCAUCCUGGAU
rnacentral:sRNA from 1 species